rnacentral:rRNA from 1 species
UACGUAGGGUCCGAGCGUUGUCCGGAAUUACUGGGCGUAAAGAGCUCGUAGGUGGUUUGUCGCGUUGUCCGUGAAAACUCACAGCUCAACUGUGGGCGUGCGGGCGAUACGGGCAGACUAGAGUACUGCAGGGGAGACUGGAAUUCCUGGUGUAGCGGUGGAAUGCGCAGAUAUCAGGAGGAACACCGAUGGCGAAGGCAGAUCUCUGGGCCGUAACUGACGCUGAGGAGCGAAAGCGUGGGGAGCGAACAGG